rnacentral:sRNA from 1 species
UAUCUUACCCAGGUGUCCAUUGCGGUCAC